rnacentral:rRNA from 1 species
GACGAACGCUGGCGGCGUGCUUAACACAUGCAAGUCGAGCGGAGCGGCGAACGGGUGAGUAACGCGUGAGUAACUGCCCCCCUCUCUGGGAUAACAGUUGGAAACGGCUGCUAAUACCGGAUAGUGGGGGGUGACUCGCGUCCUAUCAGCUUGUUGGUCGGGUAGUGGCCUACCAAGGCGACGACGGGUAGCCGGCCAGAGAGGGCGACCGGCCACAUUGGGCUGAGAUACGGACCAAACGCCUACGGGAGGCAGCAGUGGGGAAUAAUGCACAGAGGGGGAAACCCUGAUGCAGCAACGCCGGGAGCGGGAUGACGGCCUUCGAGUUGUAAACCGCUUUCAGCCAUGACGCGGUAGGGGCAGAAGAAGCACCGGCUAACGACGUGCCAGCCGGCGCGGUAAUAC